UGGGGAAUUUUGGACAAUGGGGGCAACCCUGAUCCAGCAAUGCCGCGUGUGUGAAGAAGGCCUUCGGGUUGUAAAGCACUUUUGUCCGGAAAGAAAACGCCGUGGUUAAUACCCGUGGCGGAUGACGGUACCGGAAGAAUAAGCACCGGCUAACUACGUGCCAGCAGCCGCGGUAAUACGUAGGGUGCAAGCGUUAAUCGGAAUUACUGGGCGUAAAGCGUGCGCAGGCGGUCCGCUAAGACAGAUGUGAAAUCCCCGGGCUUAACCUGGGAACUGCAUUGGUGACUGGCAGGCUAGAGUAUGGCAGAGGGGGGUAGAAUUCCACGUGUAGCAGUGAAAUGCGUAGAGAUGUGGAGGAAUACCGAUGGCGAAGGCAGCCCCCUGGGCCAAUACUGACGCUCAUGCACGAAAGCGUGGGGAGCAAACAGGAUUAGAUACCCUGGUAGUCCACGCCCUAAACGAUGUCAACUAGUUGUUGGGGAUUCAUUUCCUUAGUAACGUAGCUAACGCGUGAAGUUGACCGCCUGGGGAGUACGGUCGCAAGAUUAAAACUUAAAGGAAUUGACGGGGUCAUAGCUGUUUCCU
rnacentral:rRNA from 1 species